rnacentral:rRNA from 1 species
GAUGAACGCUGGCGGCGUGCCUAAUACAUGCAAGUCGAGCGAACAGAUAAGGAGCUUGCUCCUUUGACGUUAGCGGCGGACGGGUGAGUAACACGUGGGUAACCUACCUAUAAGACUGGAAUAACUCCGGGAAACCGGGGCUAAUGCCGGAUAACAUUUAGAACCGCGUGGUUCUAAAGUGAGAGAUGGUUUUGCUAUCACUUAUAGAUGGACCCGCGCCGUAUUAGCUAGUUGGUAAGGUAACGGCUUACCAAGGCAACGAUACGUAGCCGACCUGAUAGGGUGAUCGGCCACACGGGAACGUAGACACGGUCCAGACGCCUACGGGAGGCAGCAGUAGGGAAUCUUCCGCAAUGGGCGGAAGCCUUACGGAGCAACGCCGCGUGAGUGAUGAAGGUCUUCGGAUCGUAAAACUCUGUUAUUAGGUAAGAACAAAUGUGUAAGUAACUGUGCACGUCUUGACGGUACCUAAUCAGAAAGCCACGGCUAACUACGUG